rnacentral:rRNA from 1 species
UACGUAGGGGACAAGCGUUGUCCGGAUUUAUUGGGCGUAAAGCGCUCGCAGGUGGUUCGUCGCGUCGUGCGUGAAAGACCCCGGCUCAACUGGGGAGGGUCGUGCGAUACGGGCGGACUGGAGGCCAGUAGGGGGAUGCGGAAUUCCGGGUGUAGUGGUGGAAUGCGUAGAGAUCCGGAGGAACACCAGCGGCGAAGGCGGCAUCCUGGACUGGUCCUGACACUCAGGAGCGAAAGCGUGGGGAGCGAUCCGG